rnacentral:rRNA from 1 species
CCCUUAGAUGUUCUGGGCUGCACGCGCGCUACACUGAUGCGAUCAACAAGUUUUUCCUAUGUCGAUAGACACGGGUAAUCUUUUGAACUCGCAUCGUGAUGGGGAUAGAUUAUUGUAAUUAUUAAUCUUCAACGAGGAAUUCCUAGUAGGUGCAAAUCAUCGGUUUGCAUCGAUUACGUCCCUGCCCUUUGUACACACCGCCCGUCGCUGCUACCGAUUGGUUGAUCUGGUGAAUUAUUCGGACUGCCGGCUGAAGGGGUUUCCUCAUCUGCCAGCGGAAAGUCUUGUUAACCCUAUCAACUAGAGGAAGCAGAAGUCGUAACA